CCAUUGGAUUCCUUGAAGAGAGGCUUCGGAACAGCAGAGAGAGGCUGAGAUCGCAGAGCAGCUCACGCAGCCGAGACCGCCACAAAGCAGUGAAGAAGGCGCCUGUAGGACACGCAUACCAGAAAGAGCCAUACAGUUUAAAGAAUGGCUGAGACACGUGACAUGACAGUUCGCAGCCCCUCAGCAAGGUGGAGCUAUACGUGCUGGAUACAGCAGUGUACAGGUCCAAGAUGAUCAGGGGAAACAAGUGGGACAUCCAGGAGACCUGCCAAGAGUUUCUGUAUCUACUCACUCCAGGCAUGGUAAAUUAGGAAGGACUAUAUGUUGAGGAUUCAUUGUUAAUAACAAUCUUUUAUCUGCAUGUUAGCUGCCACAUUUAAUUUGUUUUAGGUUGCACAAGACUUUGAAGUCUUACAUGGAGAGACUGCAUCAGAACUCUUCGAAACCUGGCUGCCGUUUUAUGCCAAAAAGAUUCUGUCCCUGGCGACACGGGAAGGGAAUAGUGUUGUUUUUGGCGACCUGUUUUAAUUUUAGUUUUAGUCUAGUCUUUGUGUAAAACUGUCAUUUUAGGUUUUAUUAGUUUUAGUCACGUUUGUAAUCUUUUUAGACUAGUCAAGUUUCAGUCGACUAAAAGUCUGAGCAUUUUAGUCAGAAUUAUCCAUGACUAUUUUU